ACGAGUUUUCUCAGAGAAACAGAAAACUACGCUGAACAUUUAUGAAGAUUUUAUUUAAUUAAUUUUCGAGGUGGGGAGGAGCACUGAAUUUAGGCCUGAAUGGUAUAUGUUAAGUAUAAAUAUAGACGUAAUUUAGCUGAAGCAGACUUUAUUGAACCUGUUUUGGGGCUGAAACAGUUAGGUAUCAAACACAAACACUGACAUGGAAUUGGAACCUUAAUGGAGAAGGGUUAGACUUUCCGUGGGAAAGUUGGUCAUUUCAGGCAAAAAGGACAGAGCACUGGGCUGGAGGUGACCUGGCUGCGCUGAGUGUGGCUUGGCCGGGUGACUGCACAAGUCACGUCAGUUCUCUGGGCCAGCGUGUAGGGGUCCUUAGUCCAGAGUGGGCAGCUGGCAGCCACCUGCAUACUUUGGCCCCUUCCUUGAUUGCAUCGAUGGGGCAAAGCGAAUCUAUACCUUGCGUGUUGCUCAGAUCAGUGCCCAGUGAAGUGUAUAUUCUCAUGCUCUCUCAUAGAGCAAGUGUGCAAACGUCUCCUCACUGAACUCAGUCCCGCUUCCACCUUAUGUUCAGUGCAUCUCUUGCAGCUCUCUUUGAAUGCUCUCCAAACUCUGACUCUUACAGUCCACCCAUCAUCCCCCAUCCCAUCCCUAAAGGCUGGGUUUUGUCUCUUCAAAGUCAGGGAAAGCCCUACCAGCCCAUCUCCUUCCUCUCUAGGCUGAGCAUCAGUCAGGCUUGUGAUUUAGCCUAGGUUUCCGGAGAAGAAGACAGUGUGCUCUCACAGCCACUAGUUAGUUUCUUUCCAGCUCCUUGGACCAAGUGAUUAGCUCCUCAUUAGCGCCUCAUCAGUCACUUUUGCAUGAUGCCAGGACAACAAACCUAUAAUAAUGCCCUGUUCUAUCUUUUUGAAGUUUUCCAUUCCUUCUGUCUUGGUUAAGAGAAACUUGCCAUUUCCUUCAAAUUUCUUUAGAUUUUGUUCUUGCUCUUAAAUAUACUGAUAAAUGGUAAACCAUGGUAUUCUUUCUUUCUUUUUUUGUUCUUUGUUUUUAGCCUCCUAUCAGUGUGGAUGUGCUCUGUCCCUAUGGAAUAGAAAACACCACAUGUCAGCAACAUGUUUAUUUAUUUAGCGGAGAGGCUAUAAUAUUGACAUGCAGAUUUGUAGCAGCAUCCAAAUCUUGAAGGGUAUAAAAGAGUCUUUUUCAAUCAAAUGAGAGCUUUACUGUAAUGGCACCAGAAAGGUUUGUACCUUAAGAACAGAAUUGAAUCUGAUAACAGGCUCUCUUUUUAGGGAACAAUGAGGUGGAAGAAAUUUCCCCAAGAGCUGAGAGACUAAAUCUUCUAUUCCACAAAUCAUUCUGUAUCAAUAGAUGCUUUAGCUCUGUCCCUCAAAUUUGCUCUGGAAAACAAGAACAAACUAGGAUCAACCACCCACAUUUACUAUUAAAAACAAAUGCAUUACCUCUAAGUGAACCCCGACUUAAAAAAAAAAAAAGCAUAAUUUUUUCUCCUCCUAAUUCUGGGGAUGGUUCAAUACUGUUUCUUUUCUUGGUCUCUUUUAAUAUUUUCAAUGAGAUUUCUAAUUGUUUUUCACUUUUAUUUUGUUACGAAGGACAUGGAUUUUUAAAAAAAUUCUGUCUGCGAUAAAACGACAGGACAGACUGAGAGUGGGGUGGAGGGACAGUAAGGAGACCAGGAGGCAGAGGGCUUAUCAGCUGCUAUUUUCUACUGGGUGAUCUUGGACGAAGCAUCAGCCCUUCUGUGCCUCUGAUUCUUAAUCUACAAAAGAAAACUGCUAGCACCCCACCGGCGCCCCUGCCUGCUCUGAGGGUUAGUCUGACCCUCAAAUGACAUCGUAACUGUCAACUCGCUCUGUGGGCUCCACAGCCCUCCUCACAGGAGUGGAUCCCGCCCUCUGGGCAGUGAGUGUUGCGUGAAUCUUCCUGGAUGCUGAGCUGCAGGCAGCUUUGGGGAUGUGCCAUGUUUUGAGCUGCAUCCUUCCUCACUCCCUCCUGAGGUCUGGCGUCUAGAUUUUGUCAUUGGCAUUUUCCUCUUUGAAUCACCAUCAAUGCUGGAGGGCUAGAAAAUGCUUUUAUGAAAAUACAAGCAGAAAGAGGAUGUUUUAUCCCUUUGGCUCUGUCACUGAAAAUGCCUGGGUUUUAUUUUCCAGCCUGGAAUUCUGAACAUUUUGUAGCAAAAUGGCAUCUCCUGCUGCACUUAACACCACGUUAUUCCUUGUUGCUUUCAUGAGGUUCUGCAGAUUGAAACAUAAUGUUUUUUGAAAAGUAGGGCUAUAUGAAGCUUCCUCAAUAAAUUGGGUAGUGAAACCAAUCUUAAAGAAAGCCCCCAAAGUGAUAAUGAUCCUAAAGCAAUAUCACCUUCUUUCUAGGGCCAGCAUUUUGUAUGUGGGGAGAUAAUUUUAAGAUGGAGGGAAAAAAAAAAAAAAAAAGGUUUGCUGGAGUGAAGGCCGAAUGCUAAACCACAUUUGUAAAAGCCUUGAGCACUAACAAACAGGUGUGAUUGGGGUGCCCACUGAGAAAGGGCUCUGAUUGGAAGUGAAACCCCUGACAACACAUCCUGAGGCCAGAUUGCCCAGGUUACAAUGGUGAUGUCAUUGACAGCCCCUAAAAACAUCCAAGGUGUUUGUGACGCCAAGCACUAUUUGCAGGGGUGACUGCUUAGUGUGUUACAUCUUUCAGAUGUAAUUUCCUUUAGAUUUUCAAGUAAUGAUCAGGUGUGAUGCAACUGACUAAAUGCUGUGCAUGUUUCUUUUUGAAGGAUUUCUUACUCCAGAGAAAAAUCAGAUUAACACCAAGUACCUGAAAUCCUAAGACAUUCACGUAUAUUUUGCUCAAGUUCAGACUACCUCAGCUUCUCUUUCCUCUCUCUACCUGGGGUUCAAUUUUUGUUUGUCUUAGAUAGAAAAGCAACACCUUUGUUCUGAGGCUCUGUCCCAGUGAUUCUCCCCCUGCAGCUGUCCAGCAGACAGAAAACAUUUCAGCUUUCUUUGAAAUGAAAGUUCAAAUUGGGUUAUGACUAGGCUUUUAAAUUAUGAUGUGAAAUUGGAGAAGGCAAGCUGGUUCAGGGAGAUGUUCCAUAAUUCACUCUGCUAAUCCCAAGGAGAUGACCUCCUUCAUAGCACGGUUUAAGGCCUGCCUUGAACAAGCCAUUUCCCCCUGUAACUUCCCAGUGACAAGAUGGUUAUUUAAGGAUUUCAGAGAUAUCAUUUGAGAAAUAACUCACCAGAUAUGGGAAAUCUGAUUUAAUAUGUUAACAGGAAAAACAAGAACUUAGUUGAAUGCUUUUUUCCUUUCCUCUUGCUGAGCAUUUAGCCUUCUGGAGGCCAUUGGGAUAUUUCCUUUUCAAGGUUGGAGAAGAUUGAUUAUAGUUCAUAUCUAAGAGCAAAGGCUCCCGCAAGCCCUUUGCAGUUGGAGACAACCCAAAAUGACCCAUGUUAAUCUUUUGUCACCCUGCAGAAUCAGGGACCCUUCUUGGUUAUGUUUAUGGGCCAUGGUGGGUGAGCUCUAGGAUGUUGUCAAAAUAAAAUGAAAAGAAAGCAAGUUGGGACAAGAAAAUAAUCAGUUAGAAUGUGACAGAAAACAGUGGUCCUGCUCUCUCUGGCAAAGAUUCAUGUACUGCUGAGGGAAGAAACAAGUUUUUUUUCUCAAAUAGAUUUUACUUCCUGAGAUUUUUUGUGUUUGUGGGUGUGUAUGUGUGGGUGUGUAUGUGUGAGUGUGGGUGUGUGUGUGUUAGCUGGGAGAGGAGUUGGAAACAUUAGGAAGUAGUUGUUUACAAGUUUAGUCUUCCUCUGGAGCAUAAUAAAAGCUCUGCUCAGUUUCUCAGAAUGUGACAAUAAAAUUAGGAAUGGAGAGGACUUCAGAAGCCCAUGUUUGAGUAUAUGGUAUAUUUUUACCCAAAGACUUCUUUCAGAAACAUUUAGUCCUAGCAAGCAAUAGCAAGCCUAUGUCUGCCAUUGGUAUCAGGAAAAGGAAUAAGUGAAGAGGUAGUUUCUGAAGACCCCAGUGUUGCAUCCAUUUAUAAGCUUCUUUCCUAAGAGUUCAGGUUCCUUGACUUACAUGAGAGAAUUUUCCAAUAGGGCCUACAUGGGGUGGGGGGCUGGGUUUGAAUGAGCUGCUCAAUCAGUACUAUGACAAUGCAUUAACUCUGUCCCAUGGAAAAACUAGGAUCAUCCUAGGGCUGCUUUCAUUUGGAAUGGCAUAAAGAGAGGCUUUUGAAACAUAUUUUGAGGACUGGCACCCAAAGCCAGCCUCUGUUGAAAGAGUUUUCAGUUUAAUAGGCAGAAUUUCUCUCUUCUCCCAUCUAUCAGUGAUCUGGGGUGGGGGGUGGGGGGGUAUCUGUUUUCAGCACCAGGGACAGCAAACACCUCCCUCAAUUGAACCAAUGUGCUCUAUCCUGAUUGACCUGCCAGUCAAGGAAGGGAAGGGCUUUUCUUUUACUCCCAUCCCUUGGGGCCUCAACCUGGAAGGUUUUAUCCUUAAGUUCGGGUAUUUACACCUUUUAUUUAUUACCAAGCUUGUUUCUGUCACAUUCCAGAUCUGCUAACAAAUGAUAGGUGUUGGCCCGACAUGCCCAAGUCUCCUGGCUCAAAGCAGUGGAAAGAAAGACACUUAGACAUCAGUGGAGGACACACUUGGCACAGGAAGCCACUGCACAUUCUUCACAAAGGCACUGUUGACUUGUAAACUCCCAAAUGGAGGAUUGCUUUUCGGCAAUCACUUGGAAAAACAUUUCUGCACAUUUCCCACAAAGUACAAGUCUAUGUUUCACUCUGUGGCAUUUGGAGGCAAUAUUCCACAGGAGUUGAGCAGAAGCUAUUAGCUUCAGGGGUAGAGAAGGGCCCCGGUGAUGCUGCUGUUUGGUAUUUUGAAGACUCAGGGUGGGGGCCUGGCUUUGAAAGCCAGCAGCCACUCUUCAAUUCUGAACGCUGUUUAGCAGCUAACUUUGCCUUAAACAAUCAUUUUAAAAAUGAAAAUGGCUCCUUAAAGUCUCCAUCAAGCUCGACUGAAGGGGGUGCACUGAGAAAAUGCAUAGCAGAAGCACAUGUUUUCACUUUGCUUUGUGAUGGGACAGUUGCCAUAGAGCACAAUCAUACCUAGAUGUCACCUUAGAGGCAACAUUGUUUUCUCUUAACUAAUUGACUUCAUUUUCCUCACUCAUGUCAGGAUGGAUUGUGCUGUGAAGGCAAGAGUGUUGCUGAGGAUCUCACCUUAAAGAUUGUCUUCUAUUUCACAGAUGUGAGAUCAAUUCCACCUCAAUUGCCUCUGAACUAUCUAAUUAAUAGCUUUCAACACUCCAUCAAACCCUCUCCUCUACUUUCUCCCCCUAUCUUCAGUUUGGCUUAGCAUAAUUCAUAAUAUUUAGUAGUGUAAGACAUAAGGGAUCCUUUUUAAGGAUAAAUGAGGUGGAAGAACCAGACCAGAGCCAGAUCUCAGAGGAGCAAGGUCAAUGGAGCUGUGACAUUGAACUUUGGAAUGGGUCUAAGGAAAAUCUACUGUUUCCCUCCAUUCCUCAUCCUCUUGAGGGCAGCCCCCUCCAGUGUUCACACUUGCCAUGCAAAAAAGGCAUAGCAAGAGUUUCUCUAGAUUAUUUAUAUGAGGAAGGUGGGAGGGCAGGGUCUCAAAUUCUCUGUUAGUGUCCUUUGGAAUAGAGGAGCUUUGUUUUAUAUCAAAAUCAAGGAAUGAUCCUAGUUUAGAAAGCACAUACCCAUGAAUGACUGACAGCUGGAAUAGAGUGCAAUAAGACAAAUUCUUUCCCCUUAAAACACAGAAGAAGGAGGUGCAGAUUGACUGGUAGGAAACACAGGAUCCAUCGGCUAGAGGGGAAGGUGGUCUGAUAUGGGGAUACAGAAGCAGUCAUCUUUAGAAGUGGAGGUGAUGCCCAGGGAAACCUCAGAAGAGGACAGGCUGGAGGAUAAAAUCCUAUAGAGGUUCUCAGAACUUUUUCUGCAAAAUUCCUAAAAUUUCCAAGGGCACUACUAGCCCUCUGCCUCUUUAGAGGUGAGCUCAGUUCUACUUCUGGGCUCCUAAGGCAAAUGCCCUAGAAACGCCAAAGUCUUGUAUUUUCCACUCUCAGCUGACACUGGCUGUCCAGAGUGGGAUUGUUCCCCUUCCCUAUGUGAAAGGGACUUGUUUUCAGGAGAAGUGUCCUUUAAAUAUCCAGCUAAAACUGGAGGUAAUUUUUUGCAUGAAUGGCUUUUUACAGCUAGGUCUAAAGCAGAACAAAACUUGUAUUAAACUAAGUGCUACUUUACAUAUCUUAUUUCAAGGGAAAUGAAGGAUUUAUUGUCGUGUAAAUGAUAUACACUGAUUUGUUUCCUACUGGACAUCACAUGUCCCUUUAUCUUUAGGCUGAUGUUGUGCAGCAAACUUUGAAUAUCUGGAAAAUCAGCAGGUACCUACUUCAGUGCACUAGUUGGGUAUUAUGUUCUCAGAGAGGAAUUUUGUGAAUGAAGUUUGGGUGCUCUUAUAACUGAUUUCCACUCCUAUUCCUAAGCUUUCUAUACUAAAUAUAUGUAAAGUGAUUAUAUCUUGUCUGAUCCCAUGUGUUUGUGUGUGUUUUCCAAUGUUUGUGUAAAUAUAUCGGCCAUCUGAAGGGUUAGUUGGAUUAUGGCAACUGCUGAGCAAUGGUGUAUAGGGCAUGUGAACAUAUGGUACACAUACACACUUAUUUUGAGGCCAAGCUAAUCUUACAGAGUUUAGAAAAGAACCAAUGUAGCAUGGCUUGGGAAAAGUGUAAUAAGGGAUAUAGGUAUUGCCAAGCCACCAUUCGUUGGUGCAGGCCUUGGCAGCAGCAGAGUUGAGGUGUGCUCAACCGGAUUUUACAUCAUUUAUGUUAAUUUCACUUGAUAGCCCCUUGGUCUGUUUUAUGACUUAGAAAUAUUUUUCCAUGAUGCCCAUUCCUUUUUUUCCCCAGGCCACUGGAAAUGGCUGAUUCUUGCUUCCCAUGAUUUGGAUACCCAAUAUGUUAACUUAAAAUGGGUGGCUGAGGUUUUAGUAAAACUGGGUUUUACUAAAAGUGCCCUUUCCUUGAGGUACCAUUUCUUCCAUUUUUUUUUUUUUUCUUUCUGACAAAUAUACCCAUUGGCUAUGCUAAAGUUAUUGUCAUCCUGGCAAGUCUUGGAGACUCAGUUAAAGUGAUGACUGUAUUUGCCUUUGGAGAACAGGCUCAUGGUCUAAGUAAAAUUCUUAUGUAAAGGUGCGCUUUAGG
rnacentral:lncRNA from 1 species